GACGAACGCUGGCGGCGUGCUUAGCACAUGCAAGUCGAGCGGUAAGGCCCCUUCGGGGGUACACGAGCGGCGAACGGGUGAGUAACACGUGAGCAAUCUGCCCAUCACUUCGGGAUAACUUCGGGAAACCGAAGCUAAUACCGGAUACGACCACCUUCGGCAUCGGAUGGUGGUGGAAAGUUCCGGCGGUGAUGGAUGAGCUCGCGGCCUAUCAGCUUGUUGGUGGGGUAAUGGCCUACCAAGGCUUCGACGGGUAGCCGGCCUGAGAGGGUGACCGGCCACACUGGGACUGAGACACGGCCCAGACUCCUACGGGAGGCAGCAGUGGGGAAUAUUGGACAAUGGGCGAAAGCCUGAUCCAGCAACGCCGCGUGAGGGAUGACGGCCUUCGGGUUGUAAACCUCUUUCAGCAGGGACGAAGCGCAAGUGACGGUACCUGCAGAAGAAGCACCGGCCAACUACGUGCCAGCAGCCGCCGUAAGAC
rnacentral:rRNA from 1 species